GAUGAACGCUAGCUACAGGCUUAACACAUGCAAGUCGCGGGGCAGCAUUUUCUUAGCUUGCUAAGGAAGAUGGCGACCGGCGCACGGGUGAGUAACGCGUAUCCAACCUUCCCAUGUCCACGGGAUAGCCCGUCGAAAGGCGGAUUAAUACCGUAUGAGGUCACAUGCGGGCAUCUAAGUGUGACGAAAGGUUUGGCGGACAUGGAUGGGGAUGCGUCCGAUUAGCUAGUUGGCGGGUAACGGCCACCAAGGCGACGAUCGGUAGGGGUUCUGAGAGGAAGGUCCCCCCACAUUGGAACUGAGACACGGUCCAAAACUCCUACGGGAGGCAGCAGUGAGGAAUAUUGGUCAAUGGACGUAAGUCUGAACCAGCCAAGUAGCGUGCAGGAUGACGGCCCUAUCGGGUUGUAAACUGCUUUUAUGCGGGGAUAAAGUGUGGGGACGUGUCCCAUAUUGCNGGUACUGCAUGAAUAAGGACCGGCUAAUUCCGUGCCAGCAGCCGC
rnacentral:rRNA from 1 species